rnacentral:rRNA from 1 species
UACGAAGGGGGCGAGCGUUGUUCGGAUUUAUUGGGCGUAAAGAGCGUGUAGGCGGCUAGGUAGGUCCGUUGUGAAAACUCGAGGCUCAACCUCCAGCUGUCGACGGAAACCGUAUGGCUAGAGUCCGGAAGAGGAGAGUGGAAUUCCUGGUGUAGCGGUGAAAUGCGCAGAUAUCAGGAAGAACACCAAUGGCGAAGGCAGCUCUCUGGGACGGUACUGACGCUGAGACGCGAAAGCGUGGGGAGCGAACAGG